rnacentral:antisense_RNA from 1 species
UUUAGCAUUCGGCUUACGGGCAAUAAUCCCGUUACCUACCGCAUGUAACAAGUGGGUUUUACCAAGACCGGUGCCGCCAUA